rnacentral:rRNA from 1 species
GAUGAACGCUGGCGGCGUGCCUAAUACAUGCCAGUCGAGCGAACAGACGAGGAGCUUGCUCCUCUGACGUUAGCGGCGGACGGGUGAGUAACACGUGGAUAACCUACCUAUAAGACUGGGAUAACUUCGGGAAACCGGAGCUAAUACCGGAUAAUAUAUUGAACCGCAUGGUUCAAUAGUGAAAGACGGUUUUGCUGUCACUUAUAGAUGGAUCCGCGCCGCAUUAGCUAGUUGGUAAGGUAACGGCUUACCAAGGCAACGAUGCGUAGCCGACCUGAGAGGGGGAGAGGCCACACUGGAACUGAGACACGGUCCAGACUCCUUCGGGAGGCAGCAGUAGGGAAUCUUCCGCAAUGGGCGAAAGCCUGACGGAGCAACGCCGCGUGAGUGAUGAAGGUCUUCGGAUCGUAAAACUCUGUUAUUAGGGAAGAACAAAUGUGUAAGUAACUAUGCACGUCUUGACGGUACCUAAUCAGAAAGCCACGGCUAACUACGUG